CAGGGAGACAUAACUGAUCUUGAUGUCUGAGUAAAAUAUUCUUAGACCAUGAUCCUGUCACCUUAGGUCGAUCGGUACCUCAACAUUAAUUUCAAAUCUAUUGGUUUGUUGUUGAUUUUCAGUUCCUAAACUUGUCUAGGUCACACCCAACAAGGGUACUCCUGGGCCAUUAGCUCAGGUGGUUAGAGCGCACCCCUGAUAAGGGUGAGGUCCCUGGUUCAAGUCCAGGAUGGCCCAUUCGGUGUUGGGGGUAUAGCUCAGUUGGUAGAGCGCCUGCUUUGCAAGCAGGAUGUCAGCGGUUCGAGUCCGCUUACCUCCACUGAUUAACUACCUGAUAACUCAAAUUGGAGAUUGUUAUUUGUUAAAUGUGAUUUAGAUGUUGUUCAACUGAAGGAACCUAGCUUCCUAUCACUCCUGAAUUAACUUUAGGCUGAUAAGACGCUGGGCUCACUGGAUGUUCUAAGGGAUAUUCAGUUUGUUUCAGCAGAACCUUGACAACUGCAUAGGAAAAUCUAGAAAAAUAAAGCAUCUCAUAGAUGCAUAGAAGUUUUUUCAUUUUUUAAUGAUUAGAUUUUUAUGUUCAGUUCUUGAGUUAGAGCAAAUUUUCUAUUACUUAAUUCACUUAAGGUUAAGUGAUGACUAAUUAACUUUAGAUAAGUUUAUAGAUUAAU
rnacentral:tRNA from 1 species